AGCCACGAAAUUAGACUAAGAGAACUUGUAUUGAUACUGGAUGAUUAUUACAAGUGAUGGAGAAGCCUUUAAAUAGGCAAUACACAAGACUAAACAAUUAUUAAAACAUGAAAACAUAAACAAAUAAUUCUGUAGGGAACCAGAACAUGCCAAAGGAGAUACAGCCAAUGUAUGGCACGUCCAGGAAGAGUAGAAAGGGACAGGAGGAGAGGCACAGCCUCCUUAGUGAAAGUGACAGGCCAGUUGCUUCUCCAAAGCACCACAUGUGACUUUCCUUGCCUCAAUUCAAACCAGAUCUUUUCCCUUGACUCUCCAACGGUCAUAAGCUUGUUUAAACUUCAAAUCUGCUUCAGAAUAUCAAGCUGGACGAGCUCACUACUUUCCUUGCCUUCCAAGUCACUCUAGGUUAAGCUUGGUUACUUGGAAGCCAAGACUGUACGGACUGCCUUGUACAGCAAGGUUGUAUGUACCAGACUCUUUUCAAGUACCUCUUCUUCUGUUGUUUCAUUUGUUGGCUCCUUUCCUUGAUGCACAAGUCUUGAAUACUUGCAACACACUUCAUGACU